AGUGAACGCUGGCGGCAUGCCUAACACAUGCAAGUCGAACGAUCUUUGGCAGUUUAUCGUCAGAGGUAGUGGCAAACGGGUGAGUAAUACGUGGACAAUCUUCCCUCGAGCGGGGGGAUAACUCCGGGAAACCGGAGCUAAUACCGCGUGAGACCACGUCCUGGCAUCAGGAUGGGGUUAAAGCUCCGCAAGGGGCACUUGAGGAGGGGUUCACGGCCUAUCAGCUAGUUGGCGGGGUUAAAGCCCACCAAGGCGACGACGGGUAACCGGUCUGAAAGGACGACCGGUCACAAUGGCACUGAGACACGGGCCAUACUCCUACGGGAGGCAGCAGUGGGGAAUUUUGCUCAAUGGGGGAAACCCUGAAGCAGCGAUGCCGCGUGGAGGACGAAGGUCUUCGGAUUGUAAACUCCUUUUGCUGGUGAAAAAUAGCGGCGUGAAUAACGCCGACUGAUGGUAACCGGCGAAUAAGCCACGGCUAACUUCGUGCCAGCAGCCGCGGUAA
rnacentral:rRNA from 1 species